CAGGCGUCAGGGUGGCGGAGG
rnacentral:misc_RNA from 1 species